GAGAUUGGGGGCUGGUCAGUGGCUGGUAAGAGUGAGCAGAUGUGGGUGGGGAUGACAGUCAGAUGCAGCAGUUCAGAGAGUGAAUUUCCCAUGAAGAUGAAGCUCUACCUAUCCUUGAAAAACAUGAGCCUCUCUGAAAUAUUGAGUUUGAGGUCAAAGAAUUGGUGGACUGAAAACGAAGAAGUGGCCCUGGGGAGGACUGAAGUAAGAGGGGUUUGUACGAUUCCUUGUUGGUUAAUUGUCCCCUAAAUUAGCACUUACACAAGCUGAAUGAGUGAGGGUCCUUUUGCAUGGUUACAUUUACUGUCUUAUGGCUUUCCUCUAAGCUAGUGAAUUUAAUAAUAUGAAUGGAAAUAGAUGACAGAGUUCUUGGGUUGUUAAAAGUUUUUUCACUUAACUGAGAUCACCAAAGGGUGGGCUCCCAAGUAGGAAAUGGAAGGGGAAAGGAACAGAUCUUAUUUAAAACAAACUGUAAUUUCAACAGUUUUCUCAGUAGGGGUGGGAAGAUACUCCCUUUCAGUGACAUAUUAAACUCUCUGGGCUGCCACGUGCAGUUUGUGGGGGGGCGGGGGGGAAGUACCAAAAUUGUUUUUUUAUAAUACAAACUACAGGAAACAAAAUAUUACCAAAUCUUUCUAGCUGAAAGGGAUCUUCAGAAAAUAGUGAGAAAUCAUUUGGGGGGCUUUAGUUAGAAAAGUUUCAGAAACCCUAAAUAAGAAGGAACUAGCAAUUCCUAGAAAGAAAACAGUUUUGUAGGAAGCAGGGAUUAUCCCAACUAAGAAGCUAAUGAAAACUGAUAGCUAAAGUGAUUUCUGUUUGACAAGGAGAUUGUCACUGUUGACAGGGAUGACUGACAGGAUAGAAAAAUGAAGAGGAUAAAGCAUCUGCAGAAAGACUUCCGAGGAAAUUUGACACCUUCAAAACCACAGGUGUGAAGGAUGAAGAAUAUGGAAGUGGAUGAGAAGAAAUAUGAAGAAGACCAUACCCCCAGUGCUCUCGAGUCGAUUCACGCCACCAGGGUUUCCGAAGAAGACAGUAUUGAACAAAAUUUGCUACUGGAAUUUUUAGCGUUAAAUUCAUUAUUCAGUCAACAGUAUGUGCCAGGCAUCUUUAAUGUGCCAGGUAGUAAUAUAGACACCAAGAUCCAAGGGCGGAACAACACCAAGCCACUGUCAUCAAGGAGCUCACUUUUGAGUGGAGGAAACAGACAAUAAACUAAAAGACCAAUCAAUACAUAAUGUGAUAUCUGGUAGCCAUAAAUGCUAAUGUGUUUGAAACUCCACACCAAGAGUUCACUUACAGAGAUCUCAUCUGCUCCUUACAAGGACUCAAAAGGGUUUUCUGUUCAAUGGACAGAGCCCAUUCACAGCCAGGAAAGCCAGGUUCAUACACUCCCCUCCAGACUGUGCAGCACCCACAACCAGGUCUCACUACAGCCUGGAACCUGUACAAGGAAGCCCACAAGGAGAUCCUGAGAUUGAGUCCAUUAAAGAGAGUCUUCUAUGGUGAUGUUGGGCAUUCAGGAGGCUGGGGCAGUUUUUCUUUCACAGGUUUUCUGACUGGAGCAGAAGACUCAUGGGGCUUCCAUGUACUGGGUGCUUACAAAUUACCAGGCAAAGUUCUAGGGCCAAGCACACAGCAGUCAGCAAUAUAGACAAGACCUUGGCCUACCUGCAGCCUACUGUCCCAUGCCUUCAGGUAAAAUGCCCUUUGGUCCUAAUGUUGUUGUUGUGUGCUCCUGAAUUGAUUCCCACUCCUCGCCACCUUACAGGACAGAGUAGAACUGCAUAGGAUUCCCUAGGCUGUAAUCUUUAUGGGAGCAGAUCACUAGGUCUUUUCUACUGGGAAGUUGCUGGUGGAUUUGAACUACUGAGCUUUGGCCAGCAGCCAAGCACUUAACUAUUGUGCUAUGAGGCUAUCGGGGCUCCUUUUGGUCCUAAUAGAAAGGACAUUAUUCUAGUACCAAAUUUAAAACUGAGGCAAAGAAUUAUACAGUGCAAUCCCGUUUAAGUGGGACGGAAAAUAUAUAUAUAUAUGCGUGUGUGUGUGUGUGUGUGUGUGUGUAUGCAUACAGCAGUUAACAAGUACAUUGUAGAUACUUUUAAAAUAUUCUGAAGACCAGAGUACUAUUGUGGAGUGAAGGAAGAGAGGAAAACCUACUUAUUUUCGAUAUAUAUCUCUCUGUACUCUUUGCUUUUAUUCUGUGUAUAGCUUACAAUUUUUUAAGAGUUUAGUCUUAAAAGAUGAAUAAGGCAUGUAUUUAUAAACUAACAUGGAAAGAUAUAUUGUCAAAUGGUAUAAAAAAUAAUUUAUGAAACUGUUCAAGGAAGAGUGCAUUGUAAAAGAAAUAAUUACAUUGGCACACGGAGUUAUUGGUGUUUUUGUAUGCCACUGAGUCAAUUCUGACUCUUAGCAACCCUAUAUGACAAAGUUGAGCAGAUUGCCAGGUCUUUUCUCCCACAGAGCAGCUCGUAGGUUCAAGCCACUGACCAUUUGGUUAGCAGAUGAGCACUUAACCAUUGUGCCACCAGGGGUCCUUGAAAGAUAAACCAAAAAAAAGCCAAAUGCAUUGCUGCUGAGUCAAUUCCAACUCAAAGCAAUCCUAUAGUACAGAGUAGAACUGCCCCAUAGGGUUUCCAAGGAGCAGCUGGUAGAUUUGAACUGCCAAACUUGUGGUUAAGCAGCCGUAGUUCUUAACCACUAUGCCUCCAGGAUUCAACUCCCUUGAUAUAUACAUAUAUUUUUUUUUUUAAGAGGGGGAAAAUUGAGAGUAUACCACAAAUUGCUAUCAAUGAUUGCCUCUAGGGGGUUCAGUGAAGGGGAACACCUCUCAUAACCAGAAAAACCAAAUCCAGUGCCAUCAAGUCAAUUCCGACUCAUAGUGACACUACAGGACAGAGUAGAACUGCCCCAUGGAGUUUCCAAGGAGCGCCUGGCAGAUUUGAACUACUGACCCUUUGGUUAGCAGCCAUAGCACUUAACCACUAUGCCACCAGGGUUUCCAGACCUCUCAUAUUCUGUUAAACAUUUCCAUAACACUUGCCUAUUUUUUCAGUGAGCAUGAAUUGAAAAUCAGGAAAAAAAAAAGAUUUUUUUAAAAUAAGUAAAACAUUGCAUACACUUUAAGCCAAGCAACCUGAGGUAAUUCAUCCUCAUUUAAGUGCCAAAACAAAGAAUCUAUAAAUAUUUGUGGGUGAAGGACCGUAAGCAUAAACGUUCACCCAGUUCCCACAAUUCUCUUUUGCCCUUUAAAGUCCUAAAUCAAAGAACACCAAAGACACAAGGUAAUUAUGAGCCCAAGAGGCAGAAAGAGCCACAAAAAGCAGAGGCUAACAUUAGCCUGAGACCAGAAGAACCAGAUGGUGCCCGGCUACAACAGAUGACUGCCCUGCCAGGGAACACAACAGAGAACCCCUAAGGGAGCAGGAGUGCAGUGGGAUGCAGACUCCAAAUUCUUGUAGAAAGACCAGACUUAAUGGUCUGACUGAGACUAGAAGGACCCCGGUGGUCAUGGCCCCCAGGCCUUCUGUUGGCCCUUGACAGGAACCAUUCCCAAAGCCAACUCUUCAGACAGGGAUUGGACUGGACUAUGGGAUAGAAAAUUAUGCUGGUGAAGAAUGAGCUUCUUGGGUCAAGUAGACACAUGAGACUAUGUUGGCAUCUCCUAUCUGGAGGGGAGAUGAGAGGGCAGAGGGGGUCUGAAGCUGGUGGAAUAGACACGAAAAGAGAGAGUGGAGGGAAGGAGUGUGCUGUCUUAUUAGGGGGAGAGCAAUUAGAGUACAUAGCAAGGUGUUUAUAAAUUUUUGUAUGAGAGUCCAACUUGAUUUGUAAACUUUCACUGAAAGCACAAUUAAAAAAAAAAAAAAAGUCCUAAAUCAGAGGAGAUUCCACAUAACUCUUCAGAUCCAGAACCUUCAUUUGGGAGCCAGGCCCUCUGUGGAGAUAAUCACAGGGGAAAGGACUGGGUCAGGUGCCAUCCAGCAGUGGGCAUGCAGAUCCCGUGGGGGUCAGCUGACCUCCUCAGUGCUGCCUUUUUAGGAAAGGAUAUUUAGUCUGAGGCAGAAAAGGCCCUUCUGUCUUUAACCCUUCAGCUUGACCUUAUACCCCAAAACCUGUGCUGUAUUUUGGGCUUCAUCAAGAUGUGGCAAGCAGGUUCAGUUUUCAUUUUACUUUCAAGCACUAAUUUGAAGGUUUUCAUUUUGAAUUGGCCUGAAUCUAGGUCUCAGGCCCACACACAGUGGCAAGCCCUUGCAUGGCAGAGGUGGGCCUUGGCAGGCUUGCCUGUACUUUCACUUCCCACCCAGAUUCCUGAGCACAAACCAAUGGGAGCUUGCGUCAGAUUCGCCGAGGCAGGCCAGGGAGACAAUCCUGAAAUCCCCUUGGUGACACAGCAUCACAAAAGCCUGUUUGUAACGUAUCACACUGCUAAAUUUAGACAUAGUCUGGCUAUUACACAGAAAGAGCUCUUGAAAAGAGACAAAAAGAAUCCAAGGAUACAGAAAACCUGCCUGGGCCAGUGAGUCCUCACUUGUUUUGUAAUUCAGACAGAGGAGGAGUUAAUUCAAACCUCAGCCAGUUGCAACAGAGCCCUUGUUUCCAUGAAGCUACCCUGGAGAAGGAAGUGCCUUCUAGGUGCUAUAAGCUGGUGCCAGCCAAGCCCACACAAGAUGUAAGCUGGGCAGGGUAAUUGAUAAUAUCAGAUGAUACCAUGUGAGGGUUUAUAUGAGGGCAAAUAACAAGCAUAUGAAUAAAGUCACGUGUCCCCAAAGGGACAAAUAUCAACAGCUGAAGUAUUAUUCAUGGCACUGAAAGCAUCACUCAUGUUAUUAAUAAACUAUUUAAAACAUAUACAACAGAAAACGGGCUCAGGAUACGUUAUGGUCUAUAAACCAUGAUUUAAAUGGCCUUAGUAGCUGAUAUCAACAGAGGGACAUUAUCCAUUUGAGAUGACUGAGUAUUUUGGAAGAUGUCACAUAUUCUCUUUUCCAAGUAAAGAUGCAAAAAACUAUCAAGACGUAUUACCCAUCAUUUGCUUUUAGAAGAGCCAAUCUUCCAGGAGUCUUUCGAAAUGUUUUUAUUUACAGAAUAACCUUUCCGCUUCCUCUGAACUACAUACAGGGCUUAAGAGCAGCAAUCAAAGAUGUACUCAGAGUUUUUCAGGGUAGCACCUCACAGGAAUUCACCUGGUGAUGAGUUGACAGAUACCAUCUCAAAAGAGGGGAAUGCAGCACAGAAAAAGAUAAGCAUAUUCGAGAGAGGGUAGAACACAGAAGGGAAUUCCAGGGAAGCUUGGGAAGGCACAGAAAUUCAAGUUGCUCUAAGAGAAGACUCACGGAAAGAAAUGUAUAGAAGAAUAGGACCAACACACACAGAAAUACCCCAGGGCUUUGAUAAAGACACCAGUUACUGGGCUCUUCUUUCUCACCCAUGAGUCAUGAAUGCACUGUCCUCAACAAAAUACGUGUGCACUGAAGCAGACAAUUCUUCAUUCCAGAAUUCACCACUUCAUCUCUGAUUUAAUCUCUAGCAAAGCAUUGAAGCGAAUUACACAAAGGAAAAAAAAAAAGUGGAGCUCAAAUAGAAGAAAAAGAAAUAAGUUUUGUUUACUUCCUUAUGACAAAUAAGGAAGUAAAAAAGUCAUAUAAUGAAUUAUUACAAUAAAUUGGAUAUUUUAUAGCUGCAUAUGUUUUAUUUUAUAUUAAUAACAGGAGAUAUGAGGCAUAGUGCUUUCAUCAAUAUCUCUUAUUUUUUUAGCACAGGGUUCUUUUAAACAUCAGUCUAUUCUGAAGUAUAGAUUUUCAGAAAUAUCCUGUCUGCAUUGUUCUGAUUUGUCUCCAUAUCCCAAAGGCUCUAACAAUCAAAGUUUGGGGUUCCAUUUGUACUUCUGUUGCUCCAGCCACAUAACUAAAAUGCAAAUAAACUAGUGAAUGGUAGAAACAAUUUGAAAAUGUUUUUCCAGGUAAAAAAAGUCAUAAUUCAAAGUAUGAGUUGAGUCAAAGGGAGGCAUUGUCCAGAAAGAAAACACACACACACACAAAAGAAAACUAUAUCAUUAGACAAGUUUGUUCACUUUCCAACAGCAAAUGAGUCAUUCAUCAGUUCAUAUGCCACAUAUAUUACAGGCCUUGAAUGUAAAAUGGUAUUUAUCUUUCAACAUAAAAAAAAAAAAAAACCCUAA